rnacentral:rRNA from 1 species
CAGUCGCCACGGUAAUACGAAGGGGGCUAGCGUUGCUCGGAAUGACUGGGCGUAAAGGGCGCGUAGGCGGUUUGUACAGUUGGAUGUGAAAUUCCUGGGCUUAACCUGGGGGCUGCAUUCAAUACGUGCAGGCUUGAGUGUGGAAGAGGGUUGUGGAAUUCCCAGUGUAGAGGUGAAAUUCGUAGAUAUUGGGAAGAACACCGGUGGCGAAGGCGGCAACCUGGUCCAUUACUGACGCUGAGGCGCGAAAGCGUGGGGAGCAAACAGGAUUAGAUACCCCCGUAGUCCCUGUCUCUUAUAC